rnacentral:tRNA from 1 species
GCGGGUGUAGCUCAAUGGUAGAGCAGCAGCUUCCCAAGCUGAAUACGAGGGUUCGAUUCCCUUCGCCCGCU